rnacentral:rRNA from 1 species
AUAACGGUCCUAAGGUAGCGAAAUUCCUUGUCGGGUAAGUUCCGACCCGCACGAAAGGCGUAAUGAUUUGAGCACUGUCUCGACAAUGCAUCCGGUGAAAUUGAAGUACCAGUGAAGAUGCUGGUUACCCGCGCCAGGACGGAAAGACCCCAUGGAGCUUUACUCCAGUUUGGUACUGGGAUUCGGUACUGCAUGUACAGGAUAGGUGGGAGACGAAGAAGUUAGGACGCCAGUCUUAACAGAGUCGCUGUUGGGAUACCACCCUUGCAGUAUUGGGUUUCUAACCAGCCGCUGUGAACCAGCGGUGGGACAAUGCCAGGCGGGGAGUUUGACUGGGGCGGUCGCCUCCGAAAGGGUAUCGGAGGCGCUCAAAGGUUCCCUCAGAAUGGUUGGAAACCAUUCGAAGAGUGCAAAGGCAGAAGGGAGCUUGACUGCGACACCGACGGGUGGAGCAGGUACGAAAGUAGGACUUAGUGAUCCGGUGGUAUAAAGUGGGAUUGCCAUCGCUCAACGGAUAAAAGCUACCCUGGGGAUAACAGGCUUAUCACUCCCAAGAGUUCACAUCGACGGAGUGGUUUGGCACCUCGAUGUCGGCUCAUCGCAUCCUGGGGCUGUAGCAGGUCCCAAGGGUUGGGCUGUUCGCCCAUUAAAGCGGUACGCGAGCUGGGUUCAGAACGUCGUGAGACAGUUCGGUCCCUAUCCGGCGCGGGCGUAGGAUAUCUGAGGGGAGCUGGCCUUAGUACGAGAGGACCGGGCUGGACGGACCACUGGUGCAUCAGCUGGAUACCAAAUCCAUAGCUGGGUAGCCAAGUCCGGAAGGGAUAAACGCUGAAGGCAUCUAAGCGUGAAGCCCCCCCCAAGAUGAGAUGUCCCUGUCUAUAAGACAGUAAGACCCCUGAAAGAGUAUCAGGUAGAUAGGGCAGAGGUGGAAGCACGGUAACGUGUGGAGCUGACUGUUACUAAUCGGUCGAGGGCUUGACCAA